GAAGGCCACAGAACCUCACCCGGGGGUAUUUAAAUAACUUACCUGGCCCUCUGUUGCCUCUCUUUGCCUGCUUAUUUCAGCUAGAAUUUAUCUUACAUAUAGUGCUGAAACCUGGGACGCGGGACCUCAGCCUGCUCUCCGCUGCGUAGAUUAUUUUCUGAAAUAUCAGAAUUUCCUUAUGUCAACUGUCUUACAACUAAUACCCGCCUCAAACCCCCACGACACCCCUUAUCAGCCGGAAGUAGCCAGAUUGAGUCGUCGCCCAUUAUGACCAAAAGGCUGGAAUGUUAGGCUGAAGAAAGGAAAACCAAGGACAUGCAAACAGAACAGAGAGAUGCCAUAGGGGGAGAACA